CUUUACUUUUCUCUAAGCUGCAGGAACUUUCCGUCCUCAUUCUUUACGCUCAAACUCACACGAAGGCAAACGGUAAAUGCUGAAAAUAUUUAAAAAUCGUGGAAUUAUUUCUUUAAAGGUUUCCGGAAAUGCUCUACUUUGGAGCUUGUUGAAUCAUGGGGCCAAAAAAUUACAGUCCACAGUUACAAGUUGCAACAAUGCGGCUUCACCAUAAGGACUUUGUUGACGAAUUAAAAGCACUUCACCUUCAAAACGACGAAAAGGACAAGAAAAUCAGUCAUCUGGAAAAGCGAGUGAAUGAGCUGGAACAUAAUCAAGGAUGUGAUCGUACUGGACCGGUUAAAAAGAGAUUUAUACCCGUGCUGUGAGUCGAGCACAUGCCGCCUUCCUGGAAUCCAAAGGCGUCACAUUAGAAGCUAAACAGACUGAAGCUUGCCACUCGUUGGAAAGGAGGAAUCCUGGACAUAAACAAGCCACCAGCCUGAGGAAGCUGACUGCCUGUUGCUGGAAAGGAGCCAAACGUGUCAGCAGCAGAGUUAGGCAAGGAGGAAUCUUAUUAUCGGCUUUAUUAAAUCUUCACAUGGAUGAACUCUCUGAAACUGAAUGCAUGUAACUCUGGAUGUUUUGUUGGAAAUCUAUUAGUGAAUCAUAUUUUGCCUGCAGAUUCUGUGGUUUUUAGUCCAUGAAGUGCAAAUCUGUGGUGUAAAGCUUUAUAUUAAUCAUAAUGCCUGUAAGAUGUCAUGAUCUGUUGAACUAAACAGAGCAAACAUAUAAAAUGUCCAGAAUUCAAAUCAUUGAGGAAUACAGUUUGUCAGUGAAAAAAAUAAAUAUUCUGAUCAUUUCAUUACAGAAUAUGUGACAGAUGAUGAUGAUGAUGAUGAUAUGACUAAAAUCCUUUCAUGAAAAUUCAGUUUGUGCUCAGACAAAACUUGUCUUUUUGUAGCAUACUGUAUACUUCUAUUUACUGCACAUUUGAGGACAAACUAUUAAAUGUAAAAUAAUCUCAGUAAACUUCUGGUUGAGCUCUACAUGAUACCAUUCACUGCUGUGUUGGCAGUUAUCCAUUAUUACAUUUUAUGCAAUUUUGUGUUAAAUUUUAUUCAAAUUCAAAAAUACUUUAUUGAUCCCAAAGGAAAAUGAAAUUUUGUUUUUACUCAUAUUAACUCAAAGUAAUUGUAAAUAGCGAUGGUUGUUGGGAGGAAGGAUCUCCUGUAGCAGUCUGUAUCACAGCAAAUUUGAAGAAGCCUCUUACUGAAGACACUGUGUUUUCUCAAGACAACCUCAUAAAGAGUAUGGCCAGUGUUGUCCAUAAUUUUCUUAAUAAUAUGGACAUGUAUUUUAUUUUUAGAUGAUUGUAGAUAUCUGGUUGGUUAGUUGUCAUAUUCUCCAUUUUCAGUUGGACCUGGAGUCUGAAAUAAAGUUUCUACCAUCAAGUCA